rnacentral:rRNA from 1 species
GGGUUGUGAGGUUAAGCGACUAAGCGUACACGGUGGAUGCCCUGGCAGUCAGAGGCGAUGAAGGACGUGCUAAUCUGCGAAAAGCGUCGGUAAGGUGAUAUGAACCGUUAUAACCGGCGAUGUCCGAAUGGGGAAACCCAGUGUGAUUCGUCACACUAUCGUUAACUGAAUACAUAGGUUAACGAGGCGAACCGGGGGAACUGAAACAUCUAAGUACCCCGAGGAAAAGAAAUCAACCGAGAUUCCCCCAGUAGCGGCGAGCGAACGGGGAGCAGCCCAGAGUCUGAAUCAGCUUGUGUGUUAGUGGAACGGUCUGGAAAGUCCGACGGUACAGGGUGAUAGUCCCGUACACCAAAAUGCACAGGCUGUGAACUCGAAGAGUAGGGCGGGACACGUGGUAUCCUGUCUGAAUAUGGGGGGACCAUCCUCCAAGGCUAAAUACUCCUGACUGACCGAUAGUGAACCAGUACCGUGAGGGAAAGGCGAAAAGAACCCCGGCGAGGGGAGUGAAAAAGAACCUGAAACCGUGUACGUACAAGCAGUGGGAGCACCUUCGGGUGUGACUGCGUACCUUUUGUAUAAUGGGUCAGCGACUUAUAUUCUGUAGCAAGGUUAACCGUAUAGGGGAGCCGCAGGGAAACCGAGUCUUAACUGGGCGUUAAGUUGCAGGGUAUAGACCCGAAACCCGGUGAUCUAGCCAUGGGCAGGUUGAAGGUUGGGUAACACUAACUGGAGGACCGAACCGACUAAUGUUGAAAAAUUAGCGGAUGACUUGUGGCUGGGGGUGAAAGGCCAAUCAAACCGGGAGAUAGCUGGUUCUCCCCGAAAGCUAUUUAGGUAGCGCCUCGUGAACUCAUCUUCGGGGGUAGAGCACUGUUUCGGCUAGGGGGUCAUCCCGACUUACCAACCCGAUGCAAACUACGAAUACCGAAGAAUGUUAUCACGGGAGACACACGGCGGGUGCUAACGUCCGUCGUGAAGAGGGAAACAACCCAGACCGCCAGCUAAGGUCCCAAAGUCAUGGUUAAGUGGGAAACGAUGUGGGAAGGCACAGACAGCCAGGAUGUUGGCUUAGAAGCAGCCAUCAUUUAAAGAAAGCGUAAUAGCUCACUGGUCGAGUCGGCCUGCGCGGAAGAUGUAACGGGGCUAAACCAUGCACCGAAGCUGCGGCAGCGACACUAUGUGUUGUUGGGUAGGGGAGCGUUCUGUAAGCCUGCGAAGGUGACCUGUGAGGGUUGCUGGAGGUAUCAGAAGUGCGAAUGCUGACAUAAGUAACGAUAAAGCGGGUGAAAAGCCCGCUCGCCGGAAGACCAAGGGUUCCUGUCCAACGUUAAUCGGGGCAGGGUGAGUCGACCCCUAAGGCGAGGCCGAAAGGCGUAGUCGAUGGGAAACAGGUUAAUAUUCCUGUACUUGGUGUUACUGCGAAGGGGGGACGGAGAAGGCUAUGUUAGCCGGGCGACGGUUGUCCCGGUUUAAGCAUGUAGGCUGAUUGUCCAGGCAAAUCCGGAUAAUCAAGGCUGAGGUGUGAUGACGAGGCACUACGGUGCUGAAGUAACAAAUGCCCUGCUUCCAGGAAAAGCCUCUAAGCAUCAGGUAACAUCAAAUCGUACCCCAAACCGACACAGGUGGUCAGGUAGAGAAUACCAAGGCGCUUGAGAGAACUCGGGUGAAGGAACUAGGCAAAAUGGUGCCGUAACUUCGGGAGAAGGCACGCUGGUGUGUAGGUGAAGCCCCUGCGGGUGGAGCUGAGACCAGUCGAAGAUACCAGCUGGCUGCAACUGUUUAUUAAAAACACAGCACUGUGCAAACACGAAAGUGGACGUAUACGGUGUGACGCCUGCCCGGUGCCGGAAGGUUAAUUGAUGGGGUUAUCCGUAAGGAGAAGCUCUUGAUCGAAGCCCCGGUAAACGGCGGCCGUAACUAUAACGGUCCUAAGGUAGCGAAAUUCCUUGUCGGGUAAGUUCCGACCUGCACGAAUGGCGUAAUGAUGGCCAGGCUGUCUCCACCCGAGACUCAGUGAAAUUGAACUCGCUGUGAAGAUGCAGUGUACCCGCGGCAAGACGGAAAGACCCCGUGAACCUUUACUAUAGCUUGACACUGAACAUUGAGCCUUGAUGUGUAGGAUAGGUGGGAGGCUUUGAAGCGUGGACGCCAGUCUGCGUGGAGCCAACCUUGAAAUACCACCCUUUAAUGUUUGAUGUUCUAACGUUGGCCCCUUACCGGGGUUGCGGACAGUGUCUGGUGGGUAGUUUGACUGGGGCGGUCUCCUCCCAAAGCGUAACGGAGGAGCACGAAGGUUAGCUAAUCCUGGUCGGACAUCAGGAGGUUAGUGCAAUGGCAUAAGCUAGCUUGACUGCGAGCGUGACGGCGCGAGCAGGUGCGAAAGCAGGUCAUAGUGAUCCGGUGGUUCUGAAUGGAAGGGCCAUCGCUCAACGGAUAAAAGGUACUCCGGGGAUAACAGGCUGAUACCGCCCAAGAGUUCAUAUCGACGGCGGUGUUUGGCACCUCGAUGUCGGCUCAUCACAUCCUGGGGCUGAAGUAGGUCCCAAGGGUAUGGCUGUUCGCCAUUUAAAGUGGUACGCGAGCUGGGUUUAGAACGUCGUGAGACAGUUCGGUCCCUAUCUGCCGUGGGCGCUGGAGAAUUGAGGGGGGCUGCUCCUAGUACGAGAGGACCGGAGUGGACGCAUCACUGGUGUUCGGGUUGUCAUGCCAAUGGCACUGCCCGGUAGCUAAAUGCGGAAGAGAUAAGUGCUGAAAGCAUCUAAGCACGAAACUUGCCCCGAGAUGAGUUCUCCCUGAGACUUUAAGUCUCCUGAAGGAACGUUGAAGACGACGACGUUGAUAGGCCGGGUGUGUAAGCGCAGCGAUGCGUUGAGCUAACCGGUACUAAUGAACCGUGAGGCUUAACCUUACAACGCCGAAG